rnacentral:lncRNA from 1 species
CGGUGAUGAUGACGGUCAGCCCGUCCUGCCGGCAGCUGCAGUCUCCAGAGAAGGGAUCCUUGCUGGUCUCACGCAGGGGAGACGCAUCCUGGCUGCCCAUCUCCGAGGAGGACGAGGGCAGGCGCUGGAGGCGCGCAGACUUCAGGAAGGAGUCUGGGUCCGUGUCCUGCUCGCCCAGGAACGCGUCCUCCUCCUUCCGGGAGCGGAGGCCGCCCUCGGCCGCGCCGCCCGCCUCCUCCUCGGGCAGCCGGGGGAAGCUGGUGAUGCUCAUGUAGUCCACGGGCGAGUAGGCGCCCAGCGCGCGCUGCCGGCCCCCCGCCGCCUCCGCCUCGGGCGUCGCCAUCCCGCCCCGCCGCCCCGCACCGCCGGAAGGGGACGGGCCGCGCCGCAGCCUCCGCCGGGGCGGGGCCGUUCCCGGGACGGGGCGGGAGCUGUACGCCGUCAGCGCGGGGCUCGGCGCUCCGCUCGGUCUGAAGCGCCGGCGGGCGCGCGGCUCCGCGUUGUGCGGCAGCGCGGCGUUCUACUCGCGCCCGCCAGCAGUCUGAGCGGCCCGUGGGCGCUACCAGACAUAACCACGCGCUCGCGGGAAGGUAUCUGCAAGCCGGACUCAGCCCGCUCCGUUUUCGCGUCUCUGCGGCCUUCCCGUCCGCAGGAGGGAGUCCCUUCCCUGCCAGCAGCAUCUCCUCAAGGCCAGGGCUCUGCGCAUCCACAGAUGAAUCCCAGCGGGCUGCAAGCGCAGCCCAUGCAAGCUUGGCAAUUAGGCUGGGGAAAUGCAGGUGGCACCUCCGCGGGGCACACAGGGAGCCUGAAACCGAAACGUCAGCGGUGUGCUCCAGCCUCAACGGGCACCGUUUGCUUUAGGGCCAUCCUAGGCUCUGUUUAAGAAAGUGACAUCAGCAGAACUCCCUUGCUGGACCAAACCCACGAAUAAACAUUCACCAUGCUGUGUGCCCAGUCAUAAUCCCUGCAGAGCUAUGCCACCCCGACAGCAGCUGUUCCAGCUGGGGUCUGGCAGCCCGGAAGAGGGACCACAAGAAACUUCUCUGCUUCUCUGCCAAUGCAUUUACUCCAAUCCUCAGAACGAGUGUAGGACAGGGAAAACCUUCCCCGUGCUCCUUCCUGCCAGGGACCACUGCUUUUAUUUAAGAGCCAAAGCAACAGAGCCUCCCAGAACCUGCAAGCAGCACAGCCUCCUCUGCAUGGUCACGGGGACCACACAGGGAUGCAGCCUGCUUAUGGAACCACACGCUGACAGCCGCAGCUCCCACAGCCCAGCUCAGCUUUUUCUGCACAUUGCAACCGUGUGGCAGCACAUACUCCCAGUGGUCAUUACGUCACCGGUCCUGCAAGAAACCACGAGCACAGAGCAAGCGUGCUCAGGCCUGAAUGGACAGCACAGCUUAUACAGAGGCAACGCUUGGUUUAUCCUGCUUGUUAAAGUGUAAAUGUGAGCACUGGCUACCACUCCCACUACAAAUGCUUCUGUCUCCUGAAAACACAGCAGUCGAGCCUGCAGCACAAGAGACUUAAGAAACCCCAAGAGUCGCUGGCUAAGAUAUUUACUAAAAUUCAGACUCUCAAAGGAAUCUCAGCUUCCCAAUAUUCUGCAAAACUGUGAAGAUCAGAGGAUACAGAAGCUGCACAGCGGGUUAUCCAGGUGACAUUUAUUAGCGCAUUUCAAGUAUACAGUGAUUCUCCCAAUGGCUGCAAACAGAUGCCAGUAGCAAAGAGUGAUUAUGAAGUAGCAGGCUGUAUAAUCGUCAUGGGAAGUUAAUGCUUUCAGCUGAAGUAAGAGGAAAAAAAGAAGCAUCAGACUAAAAGGUUGAGCAAGUUUGGGGAUGGGAAGGAGCAAAUAUAGCUCUUGUUUGAGAUCAUUUACUUAAUUUGGCAACUCACAUGUAGCAGAAGCUGCCUGCUAUUGCACUGUUCCCUCAGCAUCCCAAGCACCUAAGUUACCCAGGGGUGUUUUUCCUCCACCGAGAGCAGCCAGCAUUCUCCCUGGUAAGGGAAAGCCACCUGCACAGGUGGGUCAGUUCUGGAGCCCCAGCUCAGCAGCUGGAGAAUCAGAUUCCUGGCUUUGCAUACUCAUAUGCAAGAACCGAGGUGUUGCACUUCCACCAAGAAACCAACACAGACUUCCACCAAGAGCAUGCUAAAACCAUCAGCUCCUCACUACAAGGCAGCUUCAAGUCAGGAUUCUGUUUGGAUAAAUGGUUUGUUGUUUAUAAAAGCAAGAACCACACAGCAGCUAGGCUGCAAAGUCCUCUGGCAAAAACAAGGACUGUGCAUUUCUCAGUCACUACUUGUGAAAUACAGGUCCUUAAAAAUACUUCCAAAGCAGAGACUCCUCACCAAAGCAUAAAAAGGGCAUGAAUUGAAAGGAACUGAGCUAUGGUGUGACCGACUCAGAGAGCACCUCGCAAACCAGAGGCUAUGUACUUUGCUGAAUCUGCCUGAUUUACAAAUUAGUAGUUGUACAUUUAAGAUAUUAGCUGCCUCGAUUGUGUUAGUCUCCUGCAUUCAUUAACAAAGAACAUCUGAAGCCAGUUAAAAUAAAAAACUUUUAAAAACAAAUGAAAAAGUAGAAUUCAAAUGCAUACCAUUCCAAGUGCACCUGCAUUAUGACAGUUCCUCAAGACCACUGAGCUCUGAGGUAAGUGUUGGCAAUUUCAUAGUCAGGCCAGCAAAAUGCAGUGGUGUUUCCAAGCCUCUGGAACAUGUCUUUUAAGUUAAACAUUCAUUAACAAAAUUAAUCACAGUUCCUUCUAGCAAAGUUGCUUAAAAUUUUGUCUUCAGCAAGGACUAUUUGAAAAUUCUGGUGAACAAAUGAUUGAUUAGCAAGUAAAACAAACUAUGAGAAAUUGUACCAACACAGACGGUUUAAUCAAAUCAGGUCUGAUUACUACAAAACAUGCUGAGGGCAGCCACUGAACUCAUAUCCUGGUGCUGCAGGGCCUUCCUCCCACCAACCCUGCAAUCACUUUUUAAAAACCUGCCUGCAUAAAGGACAACAAUGGAAGACAUGUCAGAAUGUAAUGACAGAUUCCAAACACAGGGCGUACAUACAUUAAAUUAACGGAUUCAAUCUUCAGCAUACAGGAGUUUGAUACAGUUACUGGCUAGAAUCGCAGAAAGUUGAAAAUCUGAACAGUCUUGAACUACUUCCACAAAUUCCAAUGGCUUUUUAAUAGUUCCAGUAAUUAAUGGAUAUAUAAAACAGAGUUGGAUUGGCUUCUCCAGCAGAAGAGGUGGAGCUCUUCCAUGCUAAUCAGAAGGAACUUGAUUGGACUUCCCCAGCCUUCCCACCAGUCUGCUAAAGAUGAUGAUUUAUUAAAACCUCCUUGAUUUACUGACAACUGAUUUAACAGGCAAAAGCUGCAGACCGUGUCAAUCAUAGUGGAUGGCAGUAUAGAAGAUUAUCCAAACAACCUGUGGAGAAGAAAGGAAGAGAAGGUUGUUUUCAUGCCUCUAGAGAGGGUUUUAACACUGACAACAAGCUUCAUGCCUUGCUUUGAUGGGGGUCUGAAUUCCAGUUCUGAGAGUGCAUCAGGGAGGUGUUGGGAAUCUCCACGCACCACAAAUGGUGCCAUACAUCUCGCUUGGCUUCCAGAGUGAUUAACAUAACUACAAUAAAUCCCCCCACAGUCCCUCCAGCAAUCUAGAAACACCACCACAUCAAGUCGUGAGCGUGUUCAGGCACCGGGGGAAGGGGAGUGAUAGCAAUUCUUCCCAUCAAUCCCACUUAUCAGAUGAUGUUAACACAUCUCUCUUCUAUCGGUGCCCCAGCUUGCCUGCUUUUCUUCCAGACUCUCAGAAAGUUUACCAACAUGAUUCACAAACCAACUUAACGAAAGCAAGAGAUGUUACCAGAAACAGUGCAAAAGAUGUCAUGAAUCCUUCCUUUGUUAGCUCCCAUGUCCCCCCGUACUCCUCCUCAUCUAUCUGCUGGAAGCUACUGAAGUAGAGGUACAGAACACCAGCAUUGAUCAGGCAGAAUAUCGCGAUCCCCACGAAUCCCUUCAGGGGAACCACCCCCCAGAUGACUCCCAGAAUAACCGCGAUGAUCUGUCGGAACCAGUAGAUGACAUCUAAAAACUCGUCCUUGUCGUGCCAAGCGGAGUCGCUGCGCAGCGCUUUGCCCCACACGGAGCCCCGCGGCCCGGCCCCGCCGCCGUUGGCCAACGCGUGCUGCUGCGCGUGCGGCGGCUCCUCCCUGCGCCGCGCGCCGCUCAUCCUCCCUCCUCCCGCCCGGCGGCCCCGCACGGCCCCGGAAGCGGCCG